GGAACGUUGGCAGAGAGGUUUAUUGCGAGUGGUUGCUAACCAUUAUGCGUUAACGCGCACACAGGUUCGAAUCCUGUACGUUCCGCCA
rnacentral:tRNA from 1 species